rnacentral:rRNA from 1 species
GAUGAACGCUGGCGGCGUGCCUAAUACAUGCAAGUCGAACGCACAGCGAAAGGUGCUUGCACCUUUCAAGUGAGUGGCGAACGGGUGAGUAACACGUGGACAACCUGCCUCAAGGCUGGGGAUAACAUUUGGAAACAGAUGCUAAUACCGAAUAAAACUUAGUGUCGCAUGACACAAAGUUAAAAGGCGCUUCGGCGUCACCUAGAGAUGGAUCCGCGGUGCAUUAGUUAGUUGGUGGGGUAAAGGCCUACCAAGACAAUGAUGCAUAGCCGAGUUGAGAGACUGAUCGGCCACAUUGGGACUGAGACACGGCCCACACUCCUACGGGAGGCUGCAGUAGGGAAUCUUCCACAAUGGGCGAAAGCCUGAUGGAGCAACGCCGCGUGUGUGAUGAAGGCUUUCGGGUCGUAAAGCACUGUUGUAUGGGAAGAACAGCUAGAAUAGGAAAUGAUUUUAGUUUGACGGUACCAUACCAGAAAGGGACGGCUAAAUACGUG